AUACUUACUGGCAGGAGAGAUACCAUGGUGAUGAAGGUGGUUUUCUCAGGGUAAGGCUCAUGUAUUGCACUCCAGAUGUGCUGGCCCCUGAGAUGUCCCAAAAUGCAGGAAAUGCAACUGUGUAAUUUGUGGUAGUAAAGGACUACAUUCAUACUCUCCCCUG